CUGCACAAGCAGCAACUGCAGCGCGCGAGCAGCAGCUGCAGCGCCCAAGCAGCAGCGUGAACGUGGGCUGGAGGCGCGGAGCGUUCUGGUUGGCGUCUUUCCGGCGUCGAUGACGGCUGUCCGGUGUGGAAACAGUAAACAACGGCUGGGUUUUUGUGCUGGUGGCGGCUGGGGAAGAAGAGGAAAAGAAAAAUGUGAUUUUAGGGUUCCAUGGUUUUUAUCGU
rnacentral:lncRNA from 1 species